UCAAGCGAACAAGGGCGCAGGGCGAAUGCCUUGGCACUGGGAGCCGAUGAAAGACGUGAUAAGCUGCGAUAAGCUUCGGGGAGCUGCAAAUAAGCAUUGAUCCGGAGAUUUCUGAAUGAGGAAACUCACCUGGGUUCAUACUCAGGUACGUUAUACUGAACUUCAAAAUAGGUAUAUCGAGGGAACCGCCUGAACUGAAACAUCUAAGUAGGGCGAGGAAGAGACAUCAAACGAGAUUCCGUAAGUAGUGGCGAGCGAACGCGGAAGAGGGCAAACCGAAGGUAGAAAUACCUUCGGGGUACGGACUGCUUUUAGGACUCAAUCUGUUAACCGAACGGCAUGGGAAGGCCGGUCAGAGAGUGUGAGAACCACGUAGGUGAAAACGGAAAGAGCUGCGCAGAUUCCAGAGUACGGCCAGACACGUGAAACCUGGUCGGAAGAUGGGGGGACCACCCUCCAACCCUAAAUACUACCCAGUGACCGAUAGCGUAUAGUACUGUGAAGGAAAGGUGAAAAGCACCCCGGGAGGGGAGUGAAAAAGAACCUGAAACCCUGUGCCUACAAGCACCUAGAGCGCGUCAAUGCGUGAUAGGGUACUUUUUGUAGAACGGUCCGGCGAGCGAUUGUAUGCAGCAAGGUUAAGGACUUAAGGUCUGGAGCCGAAGCGAAAGCGAGUUUGAAAAGGGCGUUAAGUUGCAUAUAAUGGGCCCGAAACCGGGUGACCUACCCAUGGUCAGGUUGAAGUGGAAGUAAAAUUCCAUGGAGGACCGAACCGACCUCCGUUGAAAAGGCGGCGGAUGAACUGUGGGUAGCGGAGAAAUUCCAAUCGAACCCGGAGAUAGCUGGUUCUCCCCGAAAUAGUUUUAGGACUAGCCUCAAGUUAGAUACCUGGAGGUAAAGCACUGAAUAGCCUAGCGGCCGAGAGGUUAGCGAAGCUUAUCAAACUCAGAAUGCCAGAGUAUUGAUGCUUGGGAGUCAGACAGUGUCAGAUAAAUGUCAUUGUCAAAAGGGAAACAGCCCAGAUCUACAGCUAAGGUCCCAAAGUCAGGUUAAGUGGAAAACGAUGUGAAGAUACGCAGACAACCAGGAUGUUGGCUCAGAAGCAGCCACUCAUUCAAAGAGUGCGUAAUAGCUCACUGGUCGAGCGUCUUUGCGCGGAGAAUUUAACGGGGCUAAACCUGACACCGAAGCUUAGGCAAUACAGCAAUGUAUUGGGUAGGGGAGCGUUGUAUACGCGGUGAAACAGUAGCGCAAGCGGCUGUGGAGUGUAUAGAAGUGAGAAUGCCGGAAUGAGUAGCGCGAAUGCAGUGAGAAUCUGCAUGGCCGAAAGCCUCAGGUUUCUGGAGGAAGGUUCGUCCGCUCCAGGUUAGUCGGGAGCUAAGGUGAGGCCGGAAGGCGUAGCCGAUGCACAGACGGUAGAGAUUCCGUCACCACCAAAAGAGUUAAGCACAGGGACACAUUUGAAGUCUCAGAGCCGGGUGUUGGUUCCGGUAGAGAUCGAGGGAAGUUAGUACCGAAGUCUGAGAUGGAAGAUGGCGAGAAAAGCUGUGUGUAUUUCUGAGGUGCCCGUACCGCAAACCGACACAGGUAGGUAGGAAGAAGAUUCUAAGGCCAACGGGAGAAGGGUUGUUAAGGAACUCGGCAAAUUGACCCCGUAACUUCGGGAGAAGGGGUGCUCCAGAGAUGGAGCCGCAGAGAAUCGGCCCAAGCAACUGUUUACCAAAAACACAGGUUUGUGCUAAAUCGAAAGAUGACGUAUACGAGCUGACGCCUGCCCGGUGCUGGAAGGUUAAGAGGAGAUGUGCAAGCAUUGAAUCGAAGCCCCAGUGAACGGCGGCCGUAACUAUAACGGUCCUAAGGUAGCGAAAUUCCUUGUCAGGUAAG
rnacentral:rRNA from 1 species